AACGAACGCUGGCGGCAUGCCUAACACAUGCAAGUCGAACGAGACCUUCGGGUCUAGUGGCGCACGGGUGCGUAACGCGUGGGAACCUGCCCUUAGGUUCGGAAUAACUCCCCGAGAGGGGUGCUAAUACCGGAUAAUGUCUUCGGCCCAAAGAUUUAUCGCCUUUGGUUGGGCCCGCGUUGGAUUAGCUAGUUGGUAGGGUAAAAGCCUACCAAGGCGACGAUCCAUAGCUGGUCUGAGAGGAUGAUCAGCCACACUGGGACUGAGACACGACCCAGACUCCUACGGGAGGCAGCAGUGGGGAAUAUUGGACAAUGGGCGAAAGCCUGAUCCAGCAAUGCCGCGUGAGUGAUGAAGGCCUUAGGGUUGUAAAGCUCUUUUACCCGGGAUGAUAAUGACAGUACCGGGAGAAUAAGCUCCGGCUAACUCCGUA
rnacentral:rRNA from 1 species